GUGUCAGCAGCCGCGGUAAUACAGAGGGUGCAAGCGUUAUUCGGAAUUAUUGGGCAUAAAGCGCAUGUAGGUGGUUUGAUAAGUCUGAUGUGAAAUCCCCGGACUCAAUUCGGGAAGUGCAUUGGAUACUGUCAGGCUAGAGUAUGGGAGAGGUGAGCGGAAUUCCAGGUGUAGAGGUGAAAUUCGUAGAUAUCUGGAGGAACAACAGAGGCGAAGGCGGCUCACUGGACCAUUACUGACACUGAGAUGCGAAAGCGUGGGGAGCAAACAGGAUUAGAUACCCGCGUAGUCC
rnacentral:rRNA from 1 species